AGCUUUGCGCAGUGGCAGUAUCGUAGCCAAUGAGGUUUAUCCAAGGCGCGAUUAUUGCUAAUUGAAAGUCAACAUUAGGGCUGGAGAGAUGGCUCAGCGGUUAAGAGCACUGACUGCUCUUCCAGAGGUCCUGAGUUCAAAUCCCAGCAACCACAUGGUGG
ensembl:snRNA LOC120096090 U4 spliceosomal RNA